CCUACGGGAGGCAGCAGUAGGGAAUCUUCCGCAAUGGACGAAAGUCUGACGGAGCAACGCCGCGUGAGUGAUGAAGGCUUUCGGGUCGUAAAACUCUGUUGUUAGGGAAGAACAAGUACGAGAGUAACUGCUCGUACCUUGACGGUACCUAACCAGAAAGCCACGGCUAACUACGUGCCAGCAGCCGCGGUAAUACGUAGUGGCAAGCGUUAUCCGGAAUUAUUGGGCGUAAAGCGCGCGCAGGCGGUUUCUUAAGUCUGAUGUGAAAGCCCACGGCUCAACCGUGGAGGGUCAUUGGAAACUGGGGAACUUGAGUGCAGAAGAGAAAAGCGGAAUUCCACGUGUAGCGGUGAAAUGCGUAGAGAUGUGGAGGAACACCAGUGCGAAGGCGGCUUUUUGGUCUGUAACUGACGCUGAGGCGCGAAAGCGUGGGGAGCAAACAGGAUUAGAUACCCUGGUAGUCCACGCCGUAAACGAUGAGUGCUAAGUGUUAGAGGGUUUCCGCCCUUUAGUGCUGCAGCUAACGCAUUAAGCACUCCGCCUGGGGAGUACGGUCGCAAGACUGAAACUCAAAGGAAUUGACGGGCGCCCGCACAAGCGGAUGGUAUGCAUGUGGUUUAAUUCGAAGCAACGCGAAGAACCUUAC
rnacentral:rRNA from 1 species